AGAGUUUGAUCAUGGCUCAGAUUGAACGCUGGCGGCAGGCCUAACACAUGCAAGUCGAACGGUAACAGGAAGCAGCUUGCUGCUUCGCUGACGAGUGGCGGACGGGUGAGUAAUGUCUGGGAAGCUGCCUGAUGGAGGGGGAUAACUACUGGAAACGGUAGCUAAUACCGCAUAAUGUCGCAAGACCAAAGAGGGGGACCUUCGGGCCUCUUGCCAUCGGAUGUGCCCAGAUGGGAUUAGCUUGUUGGUGGGGUAACGGCUCACCAAGGCGACGAUCCCUAGCUGGUCUGAGAGGAUGACCAGCCACACUGGAACUGAGACACGGUCCAGACUCCUACGGGAGGCAGCAGUGGGGAAUAUUGCACAAUGGGCGCAAGCCUGAUGCAGCCAUGCCGCGUGUAUGAAGAAGGCCUUCGGGUUGUAAAGUACUUUCAGCGGGGAGGAAGGGAGUAAAGUUAAUACCUUUGCUCAUUGACGUUACCCGCAGAAGAAGCACCGGCUAACUCCGUGCCAGCAGCCGCGGUAAUACGGAGGGUGCAAGCGUUAAUCGGAAUUACUGGGCGUAAAGCGCACGCAGGCGGUUUGUUAAGUCAGAUGUGAAAUCCCCGGGCUCAACCUGGGAACUGCAUCUGAUACUGGCAAGCUUGAGUCUCGUAGAGGGGGGUAGAAUUCCAGGUGUAGCGGUGAAAUGCGUAGAGAUCUGGAGGAAUACCGGUGGCGAAGGCGGCCCCCUGGACGAAGACUGACGCUCAGGUGCGAAAGCGUGGGGAGCAAACAGGAUUAGAUACCCUGGUAGUCCACGCCGUAAACGAUGUCGACUUGGAGGUUGUGCCCUUGAGGCGUGGCUUCCGGAGCUAACGCGUUAAGUCGACCGCCUGGGGAGUACGGCCGCAAGGUUAAAACUCAAAUGAAUUGACGGGGGCCCGCACAAGCGGUGGAGCAUGUGGUUUAAUUCGAUGCAACGCGAAGAACCUUACCUGGUCUUGACAUCCACGGAAGUUUUCAUAGAUGAGAAUGUGCCUUCGGGAACCGUGAGACAGGUGCUGCAUGGCUGUCGUCAGCUCGUGUUGUGAAAUGUUGGGUUAAGUCCCGCAACGAGCGCAACCCUUAUCCUUUGUUGCCAGCGGUCCGGCCGGGAACUCAAAGGAGACUGCCAGUGAUAAACUGGAGGAAGGUGGGGAUGACGUCAAGUCAUCAUGGCCCUUACGACCAGGGCUACACACGUGCUACAAUGGCGCAUACAAAGAGAAGCGACCUCGCGAGAGCAAGCGGACCUCAUAAAGUGCGUCGUAGUCCGGAUUGGAGUCUGCAACUCGACUCCAUGAAGUCGGAAUCGCUAGUAAUCGUGGAUCAGAAUGCCACGGUGAAUACGUUCCCGGGCCUUGUACACACCGCCCGUCACACCAUGGGAGUGGGUUGCAAAAGAAGUAGGUAGCUUAACCUUCGGGAGGGCGCUUACCACUUUGUGAUUCAUGACUGGGGUGAAGUCGUAACAAGGUAACCGUAGGGGAACCUGCGGUUG
rnacentral:rRNA from 1 species